rnacentral:lncRNA from 1 species
CGACCUUGUCACCCACUGCCACCUGUUAUCCCGAGGGCCCCUCCAAGACACCUGCUGAGCCUGAGAGCUACCUGCAGAAGAUGCCACCCCCUGGGGCCCUGCUCACUCCUGGUUCAGUGAACAACCUAGACAACUGGCCCUGUCUGUUCUGCAGGGCCCAUGAGUGCCCACACACGAUUAGAACGGCUUUCCUGCCGGGAGUCUGACCACUCACAGCUCACUCAGAUUCCGUGCUGAGCCCAGGGCAGCGGGAGAGUCCUCUGGGCUCCAUGACCAGCGGGUCAGGGGCGGGACUUGGUUCCGGGUCCCAGUGCUGCUCCGAGCUUGGCUCUCCCUCCCCUCUGCUCUCCCAAGAGUGCACGUGGACAUUUUCCACCACGCACACAGGAGUGAACAAGACGGCUGUUUUCUUUUACUUCCUGUGACUUUCUGUCAACCUCUUCUUUUUGUGUGUGUGUCAACCUCGUCUUAACCUCAACCUAAGCAUCUUUCCCCACGGGACUCACAACCUGAAAAUCUCGCUCAUUUGUAGAUAAGACAAAUCAACCUGCACUGUAAGCUGUGAUGGUCUCCGUAGCUGGCAGCUGGCAGCUGGCAGCUUUACCCAGUGUGAGGGCGGUCGAACACUACGGUGAACAUUUAGAUCCGGCCACCUCCGAAAACUCCCACCUGUGACUGCAUGAGGCUUUGGAGGACAGCUAGACACAGCCACUGCCCUCCCCAGCUGGCUCCUGUGCACAUUUGCACCUGGGAUGCCCAGGUGCUCCUGCAGAUGGGCGCCAGAGCCCCCCGCAGGUCUGAAGCAGCAAUGCUGGCUGGGCGAGCGGCUGAGGACAGCUGAUUGUCCGUGACACAGAGUCCUGGCUCUUACAGGUUCACCAAGGGUCAGAAGAGAGUACAACAGACACCACGCGCCCCUUACUAACCCUAAGCCAGCCGUGAAUAAGGCACCCCCUUGCCAAGCAGCUGCCCACCCCGAAGAUAAGGCCUCAAAGGCAGGUCAAGGGCAGUGAACGGGCAGAAAGCUCCACGGGGACCACGUCAGUCAGAGGCGCCCGGAAGCCAAGCCAGCUACGGCAGGUUCAUCCCUCCUGGAGCCCCCGCCCCGAUUCCUUCUUAACCAGCCAGCUGUCUUCUCCUUCUCUCUCCCCUUCCUUUUCCUCUUCACAAAUCAAAUGUCUUCCUUUCCUUAAACCCAGUCCCUCAGACUCGUUACUGGGGUUGAGCUCAUGAUCCCCACAGACUGCUC